rnacentral:rRNA from 1 species
AAUCAACGCUGGCGGCGUGCCUCAGACAUGCAAGUCGAACGCGAAAGUCCCCUUCGGGGGACAAGUAGAGUGGCGCACGGGUGAGUAACACGUAGGUAAUCUACCUUCGGAUGGGGAAUAACAACCGGAAACGGUUGCUAAUACCGCAUAAUGCAGCGGCACCUAAUGGUGACAGUUGUUAAAGCGGGGGAUCGAAAGACCUCGCGUCUGAAGAGGAGCCUGCGGCGGAUUAGCUAGUGGUAAGGUAAUGGCUUACCAAGGCGACGAUCCGUAGCCGGCCUGAGAGGGCGGUCGGCCACACUGACACUGACAUACGGGUCAGACUCCUACGGGAGGCAGCAGUCGGGAAUUUUGGGCAAUGGGCGAAAGCCUGACCCAGCAACGCCGCGUGAAGGAUGAAAUCCCUCGGGAUGUAAACUUCGCAAGAACGGGAAGAAUAAGUAGGGGACAAUACCCCCUAUGAUGACGGUACCGUUUGUAAG